rnacentral:rRNA from 1 species
GACGAACGCUGGCGGCGUGCUUAACACAUGCAAGUCGAACGGAAAGGCCCUGCUUUUGUGGGGUGCUCGAGUGGCGAACGGGUGAGUAACACGUGAGUAACCUGCCCUUGACUUUGGGAUAACUUCAGGAAACUGGGGCUAAUACCGGAUAGGAGCUCCUGCUGCAUGGUGGGGGUUGGAAAGUUUCGGCGGUUGGGGAUGGACUCGCGGCUUAUCAGCUUGUUGGUGGGGUAGUGGCUUACCAAGGCUUUGACGGGUAGCCGGCCUGAGAGGGUGACCGGCCACAUUGGGACUGAGAUACGGCCCAGACUCCUACGGGAGGCAGAAGGGGGGAAUAUUGCACAAUGGGCGGAAGCCUGAGGCAGCAACGCCGCGUGCGGGAUGACGGCCUUCGGGUUGUAAACCGCUUUCGCCUGUGACGAAGCGGGAGUGACGGUAAUGGGUAAAGAAGCACCGGCUAACUACGUG